rnacentral:rRNA from 1 species
UACGAAGGGGGCUAGCGUUGCUCGGAAUCACUGGGCGUAAAGGGUGCGUAGGCGGGUCUUUAAGUCAGGGGUGAAAUCCUGGAGCUCAACUUCGGAAUUGCCUUUGAUACUGUCUGUCUUGAGUCCGGGAGAGGUGAGUGGAAUUCCUAGUGUAGAGGUGAAAUUCGUAGAUAUCAGGAAGAACACCCGUGGCUAAGGCGGCUCUCUAGUACGGUACUGACGCUGAGACGCGAAAGCGUGGGGAGCGAACAGG